AUUGCAACUACCGGGGAAACCCUAAAAUAACAAAGGGCCGCGAUGAUUUUAUGGAAAUAUUUUAGUUAAAAAAGGCCGUUUUUUGUUUCAAAACAUUCGUCGUGUUUGUUUGUUGUGUUUGAAAGCACCGCUGGGUAAAAUGUUGUUUUAACUACGGACGCUUGCUAGGCAAAAGGAAAACACAGAUGUAUCGUUAAAAUUUUAAAUUAAUUGUUUAUGUAUGUGCAUAUUUAUACGUAGAUGCACACAGGCCCUAAUGGAACGAACGAGAAAAAAAACAAGUUUAUAUGGGCGUGGGCUAUAGAUUUAGUUUCACUUAUCAUGAACCACUACCAUUUUAGUUGUCAUUGUCUUGUCAAAUCGAACUAUCAAAAUGGCGGAUCGGCGUCAUUUUGAAAAAUCUCAAAGGCAUAUCUCCUUCUCUUGCAGUGAUUAAAACAAAAGGCCGUUACUUAUAAUGUAAGUCCGCAUUUAUAACUGAAAUGCACCGAAAGUGCCUGGAUUAAAACAAAUUUACCGAGCUAGAAGUAGCAUUUGUUUCGUAAACUGGGAAACAAAGAGGAAUGGUGAGGAGGGCGAAGCGACGGCAGGCGACGAAUAACAUAAACAAAGAGGAGGCUGCGAUAGUGGCAGCGUCGCUUUUGUCUGCAAAAACCCUGUUGCACGACCACCUUUGAGGAAUAUUUGAAUUAAAAUCGGUUCACUACGAGUCGAUCCCCUCCCACCCCGUUCUCCCUGCUUCCAUUUGCAAGAAUUUAAUGGCUUUACAGCAUCAGUUACAAACGAACGAGAUUCCGCUAUUGUAAUUAUUUAGUCGUUUCAUCUUUUCUUCUUCCUCGCUAUUGAAAUGCUAAAACACGAAUAAUAUUCCUUGGAAAGAUAUCAAGUUUUCUGAAGCUGUCUGUGCAACUAUUGCGAUUAAAAUUUAAUUAAAAGUUUACAAGAUAAGAUGACGCUAGGGGAUAUAAAAGCGCACGUGCCCGAACUUGGUAGGUAUCUAAAGCACAUUAAAACAAAAUGAAAACGACCUCUGACGGUUAUACCGAGAGUUAAAAGCGAGGUUGGUAGCAAUGACAGCCGUAGUAAUGGCGCCAAGUUUGAUUUUUUGCUAGUCUGAAAUAAAAACAAUAUUCUUCCAGGCAAUUGCAUUUUCAUUGAAGUGACCAGACCAUAAGUUGAACGUUUUCAAGUGCCUGGAAUAGAAUUAGAAAUUUUCAGUUGGCAACAAUGACAGCCGCAAAUUUGCUUUCUUUUUUUAUUAGAUCCAACCAGUAUUUAUUAGGAAAUUCUGCAUUGAAGUUACUAAAAGGCAAAUGGGAUUAUGUUUAUUUAAAUAAGAAAACCAUACGAUUGACGUCAUCAAAUGCCUGGAAUAAAAACAAUAUUCGUCCAGGCAAUUGCAUUUUUAUUGAAGUGAGAAGACCAUAAAAUGAACGUCAUCAAGUGCCUAGAAUAGAAUUUGAAAUUUUCACUUGGCAACAAUGACGGCCGCAAAUUUGCUUAUUGCAAUUGCGUUUUUAUUGAAGUGAGAAGACCAUAAGUUGAACGUCAUCAAGUGCCUGGAAUAGAAUUAGAAAUUUUCUUUUGGUUGGCAACAAUGACGGCCGCAAAUUUGCUUAUUGCAAUUGCAUUUUUAUUGAAGCGAGAAGACCAUAAGUUGAACGUCAUCAAGUGCCUGGAAUAGAAUUAGAAAUUUUCAGUUGGCAACGAUGACGGCCGCAAAUUUGCUUAUUGCAAUUGCGUUUUUAUUGAAGUGAGAAGACCAUAAAAUGAACGUCAUCAAGUGCCUGGAAUAGAAUUAGUCAUUUUCAGUUGGCAACAAUGACGAGCGCAAAUUUGCUUAUUGUGCUGCCUGUAAAGAGAGAUGGAAGAAUCUUAGGGCAGUGUUUGUAAGGCAUAUGAAACCUGCUCCGAGUGGUUCUGGUGCAAAAAAAAUAUAUUACUUAACAGACCUUAUGCAGUUGGUAUUGCCAUUUGUGAAAACCGGAAUACCUUCACAAGCUAGUAACUGUUGGUAAAGUAGAUGCUGAAGUUGCAUCAACUGAGGCAUCAGAUUACCAACCGAACAACCCCUUGUUCCACUCAGAGCGAACCAAUAUCGAAGCAACAGAAACAAAUCCAGUUUCAGCUGAGAUACCCCAGCCAAAAUGCAGUUCAACACCUCAUACUAGAGCAAACAAGCGUAAAAGGCCUCUAGAUGAGGUGGAUAAAACUUUUGUGAAUUUUCUUAAGGAAAGGCAAAUGCAAGAAGGCAGGGCCGAAAAUACACGAAAAAUGUUUCGUCUAAGUUUAUUAGAUGAAGUGACCAGCAUGUCAGAUGAACAAUGGAAAUUAUUUAAAAGAAGAACCCUGAAUGUAAUAGACGAAAUUAUGACUCUGAUCUUUCAAGAGAAUCUAUAUUUACAAUGACAUCUCCAUCUUAUUCAAAUAAUUCUCAGCAUUCCUUUCCCUCCAACACUAAUCAAAUUGAUACAUACUCCACAAGGACAGAAAUCACUCCUGUUUCAUCGUUGCAAAAUACUUCUUGUACUGGGCAGAAUGUAUUUACCAUGUCAAUGUGAAAAAAUGAAUAAAUAAAUAUUCCUUGGAACGAAUAAAUACAUUUUUUUCACUUACCUUUGAGUAAUCAUUAUCCUUUCUUCAGGACUUACGCAUUCCCUGCUCAUAUUUGUAUUCCUCUUAACUAUUUCAGGAUGAACUCUAUUCAGAAGGAGUCUAUAUGUUUCUUUAGUCAUUCUGUAGAACAUAUGAAACUUUGCAUCAUCUAGUUGCAAUUCUGAGGCGGCUACAAACAAUCUACAGUUUAAAUUUAUUUCUAAGUAGGGAUGGACCCAGAAUCGCCUUCUUCUGCGUCUAUAUCUUCGAUUGUAAUAGUACAAAAUAGCCAUCUCAUCCAAAUCAUCCAUAAUUUAUGACAACA